UUAUUUUCUCCUGCUAACCUGUCUUGUUGAUUAUUUGGCCAGCCAGAAGAACCUUAAGGGAAAGGGCAGAGGGAGAUUAGCCCUCUUCCCCCGACAGUUUUGGCGAGCCAGCCAGGAGAAGCACUGGCUGGUAAGUUGCCUUCUCUGGUUGGAAGACCUGCCUUCUCCCUGGACUACUGCAGAUGAUGAGAUACGGGAACGCCUGACGAAAGCCGGCAAAAGCCUUACAAACUGAAGCUGAUGGACUUGAUAUAAACUUGAGAUGACCUGACGACACCAUCUGAGACAUUUUAAACUGCAAAAGAUGCUUUGACGCUGACCUAUAAAACCUUAACUGGCUGUCCUCUAACUCAGAAACUGCUUUACAACUUGCUCCAACCAUUAACCUUGUUUUUCUUUUGUUUACAUAGAAAUGCUUCUAUUAAAUACUUGAUUGCUUGCUUCCAUAA